rnacentral:rRNA from 1 species
GACGAACGCUGGCGGCGUGCUUAACACAUGCAAGUCGAACGGAAAGGCCCUGCUUUUGUGGGGUGCUCGAGUGGCGAACGGGUGAGUAACACGUGAGUAACCUGCCCUUGACUUUGGGAUAACUUCAGGAAACUGGGGCUAAUACCGGAUAGGAGCUCCUGCUGCAUGGUGGGGGUUGGAAAGUUUCGGCGGUUGGGGAUGGACUCGCGGCUUAUCAGCUUGUUGGUGGGGUAGUGGCUUACCAAGGCUUUGACGGGUAGCCGGCCUGAGAGGGUGACCCGCCACACAGGGUCCGAGGUGCGGCCCAGGCUCCUACGGUUGGAAGCAGUGCGGAAGACUGCACCAGGCGUGGCACGCUGGUGAAGCAAGCCCGCGUGUGGGAAGGCCGCUUUGUGGUUGUAGACAAGUUGCGCGUGAGUACCCCGCUGUGUGGCCGUAACCGAUAAAGAAGCCCCGGCCAACUUCGUU